rnacentral:rRNA from 1 species
UACGUAGGGACCGAGCGUUGUCCGGAAUCAUUGGGCGUAAAGAGCGUGUAGGCGGCCACUUAAGUCCUGCGUGAAAUCUUGCGGCUCAACCGCAAGCGGUCGUGGGAAACUGGGUGGCUAGAGUGCGGGAGAGGAGAGUGGAAUUCCUGGUGUAGCGGUGGAAUGCGCAGAUAUCAGGAAGAACACCCGUGGCGAAGGCGGCUCUCUGGACUGGUAUUGACGCUGAGGUGCGAAAGCGUGGGGAGCAAACAGG